UUUGGUUCGUCUAUAUGCAUUUAUUAAUUUGUUUUGUUAAUUUAAUUUUUUUGUGAUUUAUAGUGAUUGUGUUGAUUAAAAAUUAUUUAAUACUGAUUUAUAAUCACUUGUAAGAACACAUGUAACGAUAUUUAAAUGCUUUUUCUUCCUAAAAACGUCGAGAGAAAAUAUACGUUUCCAAGAGAAAAUCGAUCAUUUUUCAACUAUAAAAUUGAAUGUCAUUGAAUUAACUGAAAAACUUGAGCAGGAAAAAACAUCAUAUGCAGCUUUAUCUGACAUACAUAAAGAAAUAUCGUCCAAGUUUAUAGAAAGCGUGAAGAAAAACGUGCAAGAGAAAGAAGCAAGAUUAGAAAUUGAAAAAAAAUUAGAACAAGUUAAAGAACAACUUGAGAGGAUUCCAACUGAGAAAGUUGUAUAUUUGGAAGACAAUGUCGCCUAUCAAGACGAGAUCAAAGUAGGAUUAAAUACCACGAAAAAUUAUUUUUUUUCUAUAUUUUUUUUAAUAUCUUGUUAGGUUAUAGCAGCCGAAAAUGAAAAACUCAAAAAAGAUUGCCAAGAAAAUCAAAAUUUAAUAUUUUCUCUAAGGCAAGAUAUAGCCCAAUAUCAACAACAACUUAUUGGAUUGGAAUUUCAAAAGUGAGAUUCGUUUUUUAGGGGAAUACAUUAUAAUUUGAAUUUGUAAGGACAAAAUUGAUUGUUUUAGGUCU